rnacentral:tRNA from 1 species
GGUAAAAUGACUGAAAUUUAGGUGAUAAACUGUAAAUUUAUUAAUGAGAUAAAUAAAUCUCUUUUACCA